rnacentral:rRNA from 1 species
GCGACUUCCUUUCUCCGAGUGCUUGCACUCAAUUGGAAAGAGGAGUGGCGGACGGGUGAGUAACACGUGGGUAACCUACCCAUCAGAGGGGGAUAACACUUGGAAACAGGUGCUAAUACCGCAUAACAGUUUAUGCCGCAUGGCAUAAGAGUGAAAGGCGCUUUCGGGUGUCGCUGAUGGAUGGACCCGCGGUGCAUUAGCUAGUUGGUGAGGUAACGGCUCACCAAGGCCACGAUGCAUAGCCGACCUGAGAGGGUGAUCGGCCACACUGGGACUGAGACACGGCCCAGACUCCUACGGGAGGCAGCAGUAGGGAAUCUUCGGCAAUGGACGAAAGUCUGACCGAGCAACGCCGCGUGAGUGAAGAAGGUUUUCGGAUCGUAAAACUCUGUUGUUAGAGAAGAACAAGGACGUUAGUAACUGAACGUCCCCUGACGGUAUCUAACCAGAAAGCCACGGCUAACUACGUGCCAGCAGCCGCGGUAAUACGUAGGUGGCAAGCGUUGUCCGGAUUUAUUGGGCGUAAAGCGAGCGCAGGCGGUUUCUUAAGUCUGAUGUGAAAGCCCCCGGCUCAACCGGGGAGGGUCAUUGGAAACUGGGAGACUUGAGUGCAGAAGAGGAGAGUGGAAUUCCAUGUGUAGCGUGUG